rnacentral:tRNA from 1 species
UCCCUGAUGGUCUAGUGGUCAGGAUUCGGCGCUCUCACCGCCACGGCCCGUGUUCGGUUCCCGGUCAGGGAA